GCCGGGGUGGCGGAACUGGCAGACGCCUACGGCUCAGGACCGUAGGGGAGAAAUCCCGUGAGGGUUCAAAUCCCUCCCUCGGCA
rnacentral:tRNA from 1 species